rnacentral:lncRNA from 1 species
AAUUAUGGCAACACUGUUUUAAUAAUAUUGCCAGUAAGCCAGUCUGCUAUACGGUAGAGAACAUAAAUGUUAUGUAAACCAACUAAUCUUAAUUAAGUAAAAGUUAAUCAAAAGUUAAGUGAUAGUAAAAUUAGUUAUCACUUAAUUAAGUUAGAGUUAAGCAAUUCAUUAAGUAAAUUUAGUCAGCUAAAAUAGACUUUAACCAAAAUCAGUAAUUUUAUUGUUCAAAUCGAGCUGAGGGAUGAACAAGAAAGAUGGAGAACAAGAAACGAUUCAAAUGCAAAUACCAGGGGAGGGGAAAGGUACUAUCGGACUUUAUACACCAUUUCGCCAUCCUUUCUGCCAGAGUUAAUUUUACCCGACUCAUGUUAUACUUGUCCGAAAGGCUGAAAAAAGCAAUAGCAGCACACGCGGCAUCAUAAAUUGCAAAACGGCCGUUGUUUUAAAUCUUUUAAGGUGGAAAAUUAUUCCGUAUUUACUGAACUCCUCUUUUUAGCAUACCCUCCGUCAUUACAUUCUCGUUCAAGUUUCUAAUAUAAAUGCAAUUCACCUUUACUGCCAGUACCUUCUUUUCCUUGAAAGCCCUGCAAUAUAAAUCAUAAUUCGAUCUUUCAUUGUUUUUUUUCCCACGUUAUUACAUGGAAAGUUCUUACCGAGUGAAUAUCAAUUCAACCUCAAAAUAUUCAUUUUAUUCUUAAGUUUUUUACCAACACUUCGUUUUCUUUUUCAGCUAGAGGUAAAACAAUAAGUCAACUAUAACAGUUUUUGCAAACACAAAGUUUAACGUUAAGUUUAGCGUUUGUUGAUUAGAUUGUUGAAGUAUAAAAUAUGAGAAGCUAGGAAUCACGCAUUUUUUAAAGACCAUUCGCGCUUAUUCUUUCAGCAGAUUCGUUUUGGUCUAUAUGUACAAGUUAAAUUGAUAAAACAGUAAAUCAUAGUUUAUGAAAAUAAAAAUGGCUUACCAGGGCUUUUUUUGCUUUUUUGACUUCCUGUGCCUGAGUCAACUUUUCCAAUAAAACAGAAAAAUUCUUCCCAAUAAGGAGGUUUCAAUUUCAAUAAAUUUACUGAAAUCCACAUUAACCACAUAAAAAAUGAUCCAUUAGCUUGCUAAUCGUUGAUUUUGAAUCCGCUGUUUCAACCAUCGCAGAAGAUCGUCAACAUUUCGAGAAACACUCUGGCCACGCGACUGUAACGAUGAAAACUACGCAAAAGCUAGGUAGCAAAAUAAACCCGCUAGGAGGGGGAGGGACGUGAAAGUGCGUGAAGUUCAGAGAGUUUCACUGAGUCACGAGUUCUACAAGCAGCCGCAAAUAUCGUUCAUUCCCACUUCGCUAUUUUUCAUCGACUGGUCGGCUCUUUACAAAACUCAGCAACAAUCUUUAAGCCGAACGCUGCCAGCCAACGUAAACUUGCUCACUCUGGAAACCUUAAAUCAAGGGAAAUAUUUGAUGAGGUUGGAGCACAUUUACGAUGUCGGUGAAGACAGCAUUUUAUCACAGCCGGCUACAGUGUCGAUCGAGGGUUUAUUUCCUGGAUUCACCGUUACUUCGGCGGAGGAAACUAUGUUGGGCGGUAAUCAGUUCAAGAAAGACUCGAACAUGUUAGUUUGGAACGUUGCGUCCACUUCCAACAGAAAUGAGGACGGACAGCAGAUUUGGGACGAACGCGCUAUUCCGGCAGUGCAAUUAAAACCAAUGGAAAUCCGCACAUUUAUCAUUACUUUAGUUCGCAUUUAGUCUAUUCAGUGUGGGUGUGAUGUUAUUCAUUAUAACCAAAAGGCAUAUUACG